CUACUACACUAACACUCCAAAAAUCCUAACACUCAGACUCUGUUGCUCAUCCCCUACUCAGCCAGAGCUCAUCAUUGGCGCUUGCACUCUCUCCUCUGCCGGCGCUCCCUCCGUAUUCUCCCCUAAGCCGUCUCUGCUAGUGCUCGCCCUCCCUUGGCGCUCAUUAUUCAUCGCGUCGGUCAGCCAACAGAGGGUCAGGGAACAGGGAGCUUUGGUAAGAAGAAGAACAAGACUCACACCCUCUGUGUGAGGUGCGGUCGCCGCAGCUUUUACGUCCAGAAGAGUCGUUGUUGCGCCUGUGCUUUUCCCGCUGCACGCAAGAGGAAAUGUAACUGGAGCGUGAAGUCCAUCUGCAGAAAGACCACUGGCAUUGGCAGGAUGAGG